rnacentral:rRNA from 1 species
AACGAACGCUGGCGGCGUGCCUAACACAUGCAAGUCGAACGGAGAUAAGAAGCUUGCUUCUUAUUUUAGUGGCGCACGGGUGAGUAACGCGUGGAUAAUCUACCUGACGCUCUGGGAUAACAUCUCGAAAGGGGUGCUAAUACCGGAUAAGCCCACGAGACCUUCGGGUCAUGCGGGAAAAGGAGGGGACCUACGGGCCUUCCGACAUCAGAUGAGUCCGCGUCCCAUUAGCUAGUUGGCGGGGUAAUGGCCCACCAAGGCUACGAUGGGUAGCUGGUCUGAGAGAAUGACCAGCCACACUGGGGCUGAGACACUGCCCAGACUCCUACGGGAGGCUGCAGUCGAGAAUAUUUGGCAAUGGACGAAAGUCUGACCAUGCGACGCCGCGUGAAGGACGAAGGUCUUCGGGUUGUAAACUUCUGUUACAGGGGAAGAAUGCUUUAGGUGCAAAUAGUUCCUAAAGCUUGACGGUACCCUGAGAGAAAGCCACGGCUAACUCCGUGCCAGCAGCCGCCGUAA